UUAACUCAAAUUUGUACGGAGUUGGAACGUUUGCUUAUGUUUGCCGCUAGAAGCGCUGUUCCAACUGCAUACAAAUUUGAGUUA
rnacentral:pre_miRNA from 1 species